rnacentral:rRNA from 1 species
UACAGAGGAUGCAAGCGUUAUCCGGAAUGAUUGGGCGUAAAGCGUCUGUAGGUGGCUUUUUAAGUCCGCCGUCAAAUCCCAGGGCUCAACUCUGGACAGGCGGUGGAAACUACCAAGCUGGAGUACGGUAGGGGCAGAGGGAAUUUCCGGUGGAGCGGUGAAAUGCGUAGAUAUCGGAAGGAACGCCGGUGGCGAAAGCGACGUGCUGGACCUCUUCUGACGCUGAGGCGCGAAAGCUAGGGGAGCAAACGGG